rnacentral:rRNA from 1 species
UACGUAGGCAGCGAGCGUUGUUCGGAGUUACUGGGCGUAAAGAGUGCGUAGGCGGUUUUCUAAGUUUGGUGUGAAAUCUCCCGGCUCAACUGGGAGGGUGCGCCGAAGACUGGAAGGCUUGAGUAUGGGAGAGGUAAGCGGAAUUCCUGGUGUAGCGGUGAAAUGCGUAGAUAUCAGGAGGAACACCUGCGGUGUAGACGGCUUACUGGACCAUAACUGACGCUGAGGCACGAAAGCUGGGGGAGCAAACGGG